AUGAACGCUGGCGGCAUGCCUAACACAUGCAAGUCGAUCGGUAAGGCUCUUCGGAGUACACGAGAGGCGGACGGCUGAGUAACGCGUAGGAACACACCCUGCAGUGAGGGAUAAGACACCGAAAGGUGUUCUAAUACCGCAUACGGUCUUCGGAUUAAAGCAUUUAUGCGCUGAAGGAGUGGCCUGCGUCAUAUUAGAUAGUUGGUGAGGUAAUGGCUCACCAAGUCGAUGAUGUGUAGCUGGUCUGAGAGGAUGAUCAGCCAGACUGGAACUGAGACACGGUCCAGUCUCCUACGGGAGGCAGCAGUGAGGAAUAUUUCACAAUGAGCGAAAGCUUGAUGGAGCAAUGCCGCGUGCAGGAUGAAGGCCCUCGGGUUGUAAACUGCUUUUAUAAGAGAAGAUUAUGACGGUAACUUAUGAAUAAGGGACGGCUAACUACGUG
rnacentral:rRNA from 1 species